UACGUAGGGGGCUAGCGUUGUCCGGAAUCAUUGGGCGUAAAGAGCGUGUAGGCGGUCCGGUAAGUUCGCUGUGAAAGUCGGGGGGCUCAACCCUCGAAUGCCGGUGGAUACUGUCGGGCUAGAGUGCGGAAGAGGCGAGUGGAAUUCCUGGUGUAGCGGUGAAAUGCGCAGAUAUCAGGAGGAACACCUAUUGCGAAGGCAGCUCGCUGGGACGUAACUGACGCUGAGACGCGAAAGCGUGGGGGAGCAAACAGG
rnacentral:rRNA from 1 species